CGGCGAUUGUUUCGACUGGUUUUCUUCUGAGUUUCUUUGUCGCAUUACUCGAACCAUUGUUAAUACCACAGCCACAUGAAGAAGAUGAAGAAUAGUUGAAAUUUGAAGACCACGGAAUAAUACGACGGCGUUUCGUGUAAAAGAGUGGGAAACUCGUGGAGGAGGAGAGAGAAACCGUGGUAGUCGUGUGGUUGAGCGGCCACCGCCGCAAUGGCGAAGCAGCAGCCAUUGAUUGGUGGAGCUCGCCUCAGCUGUGCGAGGCACGCUCGCUGUAAGAUCUCUCUUACCCGUCAAUCCUCUCUCCAGUGCAUACGGUACAGUACUUGGUAAUUA
rnacentral:lncRNA from 1 species